AUCCGUAGGGGGCGAGCGUUGUCCGGAAUGAUUGGGCGUAAAGGGCGCGUAGGCGGCUUUGCAAGUCAGUAGUGGAAGUCCAUUUUUCAAGGAUGGAAGUGCUACAGAAACUGCGGAGCUUGAGUGCGGGAGAGGUUAUCGGAAUUCCCGGUGUAGCGGUGAAAUGCGUAGAGAUCGGGAGGAACACCAGUGGCGAAGGCGGGUAACUGGACUGCAACUGACGCUGAGGCGCGAAAGUGUGGGGAGCAAACAGGAUUAGAUACCCUGGUAGUCCACACUGUAAACGAUGAAUGCUAGGUGUAGGAGGUAUCGACCCCUUCUGUGCCGCAGUAAACACAGUAAGCAUUCCGCCUGGGGAGUACGGUCGCAAGAUUAAAACUCAAAUGAAUUGACGGGG
rnacentral:rRNA from 1 species